GGCCUGGUGGUCUAGUAGUAUGAUUCCUUCUUAGGGUAAUCCUGGGUUUGCACCACAGGUGUACCCAAAUUGGAGGAGGUCCCGGGUUCAAUUCCCGGCCAGGCCC